rnacentral:rRNA from 1 species
UGAGUUUGAUCCUGGCUCAGGAUGAACGCUAGUAGUAUGCUUAACACAUGCAAGUUGAACGGAGUUUCUGAUUUCGUAGCGAACGGGUGAGUAUACGCAAAAUUUUGCCUUUCAGUUCAGGACAAAUAUUUUUUUCGAAGAAUAAAAUACUGAAUAUAUUGUUAAAGGUUAAUUCCGCUGAAAGAUAAAUUUGCUCAAGAUUAGGUUGUUGGUAAUUUAAAAGCUUACCAAGCCGAUGAUCUUUAGUUGGUCUGAGAGGAUGACCAACCACACUGGAACUGAAAUAAGGUCCAGGCUAAUACGUUGGCCAGCAGUGAGGAAUAUUGGACAAUGAACGAAAGUUUGAUCCAGCAAUACUAACUGGGUGAUGACGGCUUAUUUAAGUUGUAAGAUCCUUUAAUUAAAGAAGAUAAUGACAUUACUUAAUUGAAUUAGUCCUGGCUAAUACUCGUGCCAGCAGCCGCGGUAAUACGGGAAGGGCAAGCGUUAUCCGGCAUGACUGGGCGUAAAGAGUCCGUAGACUGUAAAGUAAGUUUUUUGUUAAAUUUUAAGACUUAAUCUUAACAUAGCAAUUAAUACUGCUUUACUUUGAGUUUAAUACAGAAAAGUAGAAUUUUAUACGAUAGAGGUGAAAUUUGUAGAUAUAUAAAGGAAUGCCAAUAGCGAAGGCAACUUUUUAGUAUAAACUGACGUUGAGGGACGAAAGCGUGGGUAGCAAACGGGAUUAGAGACCCCGGUAGUCCACGCCGUAAAUUCUGAGUGCUGUAAUUUAAUUGUAAUAUUACACAUAUAUUAUUUAGAUUUUUAAGCUAACGCUAUAAGCACUCCGCCUGAAGAGUACGAUCGCAAGAUUGGAACUCAAAGGAAUUGACGGGGGUCUAACACUAGUGGUGGAGCAUGUGGUUUAAUGCGAUAAUCCGCGCAAAACCUUACCAAUUCUUGACAUAUUUAAAUUGUUGUUUUAAUUAAAGAUGUAUUAAAUUCAGCAUUUUUCUUACAGGUGUUGCACGACUGUCGUCAGCUCGUGUCGUGAGAUGUUUGGUUAAGUCCUGAAACGGGCGCAACUCUUACUUUUAAAUUUUAACGUAUUAAAAGUUUUUUGCUUUUAAAAUGCUUUAAAAGUACGGUCAACGAUAAGUUGAAGGAAGGUAAGAAUGAAGUCAAGUCAAUGUGACCCUAAUGAAUUGGGCUACUUCAUGUGCUACA